AUGGCGUGGACGGCGAGAUCACCACCCCGCAUUCCGGUGGCUUCGAGUAACAGCCGCCCCGACGCGCGCUGUCCGCGCUCCCGCUUCCGUCGCGCGCCGCGCCCGCCCGCCCUCUUUAUAGGCCGCAAGCUCGACCGCCGCACUGCUUUAACGGGCACGCGUACGUCCAUCAUGCGCUGGCCGACGUCGCCCUCCUUGUCCGCGGUGGCGGCGAAGCGGGCGGCGGUGGUUCUGGCACUGGUGCUGGCGAUGGCUGUCGGCCGUGCGCGCGGUGUGGGAGGCGCCCGCGUGCCGCGACCGCCGACAGUGACGACGAACAUGAGCUUCGGCGGCGGGAACGACGAGGGCGUGGAGAUGCGGCGGCUGGCCGGAGGCGGGGCCUCCGCGGAGAACGAGGACUACGGGUACGUGGACCCUCCGCCGGACACCAACCGCCGAGGGGCCGGCGCGCCCAUCCCGCACAAGCACAACUGA
rnacentral:rRNA from 1 species